GAGAUUCUUCACCAAUACAGUCUUGGAUCCCGCUGGAAUCUUUAGAUCGAUGGUGGAGUCGGUGAAGAUGAGGUCAGAUUCCUUGGGGAAACCGGUGACGUAAUCUCGCAGUAUGACCCGCUUGUUGGUCGCUGUCUCGUUGCAUGUGGUUGCCAUCUCUCCCUGAUUUUGUUUCCUUACAACAAAAGUUUAUUUUCGUGUUCUUCCCUGAUGCGUUCUGUAUUUAUAGGCUUUGCGGAUCGUGCGAUUAUAGCCACAAGACCCACACAACCGCUGAAAGAAUACGAUUCUCGUAUCAUCUUUUCUUGUUA
rnacentral:lncRNA from 1 species